UCUAGCAGAAAUACUUUAAAAUCACCAGAUCCCGUCUGAUCCUGGGAGCUAAGCAGGGCCAGCUCUAGUUAGUACUUCAUGGGAGACCACUGAGGAAUAAUAGGUUCUGCAGGAG
rnacentral:rRNA from 1 species